GGCCGGUUAGCUCAGUUGGUUAGAGCGUGGUGCUAAUAACGCCAAGGUCGCUGGUUCGAUCCCGUGCGGCCA
rnacentral:tRNA from 1 species